UCUAUAUGGCAGCACCAGUAUGCUUAUACAGGUCUUUAGAAAAUUUAUUUUUAACGGUUGGAGGAGAGGUGUUAGGCAGCACUAGAGGGCUGGAGGAGGGUUGUCGAGCGGCACCGACUAGAUGGAGGCAACCUGUCAAGCGACACCUACGGUGAACAUGACCUAAUAGUCAUGGGGUUCUAUUUUUUCUGACAGCUUGAACCCUUGCUUUCACAAAAAAAAAAAAAGUAGCAUUUCAGGGAGAAAGAAGAGAGAAGAGAAGAGGGUGGAGCUAUAACAAAAAAAAGAAAGUAACAAUUUAGGAAGAAGAGAAUAGAAAAUGGUUUUAGGGUUUUGAAAGGAAAAAGAUGACGUGGGGUUGUUUUGAAAGGUAAUUUUUUAAUUAUUAUUUAUUUGUUUAGGGUUUUGAUUUACUUAUUCUUUGUUUGAUUUUGUGGUUUUGGGAGGAGAGGAUGCAUCAACAAAUUUGUUUAAAGGGUGAGUACCGCGUAUUUAGGGCUCAUGUCAACGGUCUGCGCUAUCGGCUGGAUGAACGUAUUAUGCCAUACUUGGAGGCAUACGGAUUCGGAUCAGUGACAUUUUUCUGCUUUGGUUGAGCGGUAGUGUCUGGAGAUCCACAUAUUUCAUUUGCCGUAUGGGGAGUGCACCAUCACUCUAAAAGAUGUUGCACUACAACUCGGGUUCCCAAUCGAUGGUAGUUGGUUCAUUUGGUUGAUCCGGUGACGCUUUGCUAUCAUUUACGAGGACACUCACCUAGUGAUGUUGGAGAUAAAUUUACGAGUUUGAAAUUUUCAUGGUUAAAGGUAGAUUUCGAAACUUUACCGAGUAGUGCCACUGAGCGGGAGAUGAUGUGUACUGCUCAAGCAUAUAUCAUGCAUCUGAUAGAAGGUGUACUCAUGCUAGAUGCAAAUAACAAUAAAGUCCACUUGAUAUACUUGCCCCGGUUAUUUGAUUUGACGCUCACUUGUUCGUAUAGUUGGGGCUCAACAGUACUAGCAACGUUGUAUCGUGAGGUUUUUCGGGCGACAAAGCACGCAACACAAGGCAUUUUUGUUGCAGUUUGGGUGUUGUAUAAGAUGCCAUUUUUGUCAUCGGUUAGUCACCGAACACAUGUCUUCCCACUUGUAAAUAGCUGGUAGAUUUGUCUAGGUAUCGGGAGGUCCUAUGCGCUUGUGAUUUAUCGACAGAUGAUUGAGACACACGCCGGAGAGGGGUAGAGUGAUACAACAGAGAUCGAGUUCUAUAACAGUUCGGGUGCAAACAAGAUGUUUCAGAUAUUCCAGAAUUUUGACAAUGUCAACGGAAUUAACAAAAAGGAAAAAGAAUCAAAGAAUUGGGUAUUAGAGCAUCAACAAUAUAUUGCAUUGUGGAACCCCCAGAUGGAGCGGAUACCUCAAAUGGUUUUGAUUUUGAUUUGUGGCCCUAGGUCGAGUGUCAAAAGAUUAAUUAAAGAUUAAAGACUACAUAAUUAAAAAUACUACU